rnacentral:rRNA from 1 species
AGAUUGAACGCUGGCGGCAUGCUUUACACAUGCAAGUCGAACGGUAACAGGCCGCAAGGUGCUGACGAGUGGCGAACGGGUGAGUAAUGCAUCGGAACGUGCCCAGUCGUGGGGGAUAACGCAGCGAAAGCUGUGCUAAUACCGCAUACGAUCUAUGGAUGAAAGCGGGGGACCGAAAGGCCUCGCGCGAUUGGAGCGGCCGAUGUCAGAUUAGCGUAGUUGGUGGGGUAAAGGCCCACCAAGGCGACGAUCUGUAGCUGGUCUGAGAGGACGACCAGCCACACUGGAACUGAGACACGGUCCAGACU